AUUGAACGCUGGCGGCAGGCCUAACACAUGCAAGUCGAACGAGUGGCGGACGGGUGAGUAAUGUCUGGGAAACUGCCCGAUGGAGGGGGAUAACUACUGGAAACGGUAGCUAAUACCGCAUACCAUCGGAUGUGCCCAGAUGGGAUUAGCUAGUAGGUGGGGUAACGGCUCACGUAGGCGACGCUCCCUAGCUGGUCUGAGAGGAUGACCAGCCACAUGGGAACAGAGACACGGUCCAUAAUCCUACGGUAGGCAGCAGUGGGGAAUAUUGCACAAUGGGCGGAAGCCUGAUGAAGCCAUGCAGCGUGUAUGAAGAAGGCCGUCGGGUUGUAAAGUACUUUCAGCGAGGAGGCGUUACUCGCAGAAGAAGCACCGGCUAACUCCGUGCCAGCAGCCGCGGUAAUAC
rnacentral:rRNA from 1 species